UCCCGUUGCCCUUCUUGGGCGUUUCCUCCCUAGACUUCGGGCCGCUCCCUCACCGGGGCGGCCUUUUUUGUCUCAGGU
rfam:Methylobacterium sp. Leaf456 contig_19, whole genome shotgun sequence.